rnacentral:rRNA from 1 species
AGUGAACGCUGGCGGUAGGCCUAACACAUGCAAGUCGAACGGCAGCACAGUAAUAGCUUGCUCUUACGGGUGGCGAGUGGCGGACGGGUGAUGAAUACAUCGGAAUCUACUUUUUCGUGGGUGAUAACGUAGGGACACUUACGCUAUUACCGCAUACGACCUACGGGUGAAAGCAUGGGAUCUUCGGACCUUGCGCGAUUGAAUGAGCCGAUGUCGGAUUAGCUAGUUGGCGGGGUAAAGGCCCACCAAGGCGACGAUCCGUAGCUGGUCUGAGAGGAUGAUCAGACACACUGGAACUGAGACACGGUCCAGACUCCUACGGGAGGCAGCAGUGGGGAAUAUUGGACAAUGGGCGCAAGCCUGAUCCAGCCAUACCGCGUGGGUGAAGAAGGCCUUCGGGUUGUAAAGCACUUUUGUUGGGAAAGAAAAGCAGCAGGUUAAUACCCCGCUGUUCUGACGGUACCAAAAGAAUAAGCACCGGCUAACUUCGUG